rnacentral:rRNA from 1 species
ACUGGGCGUAAAGGGCACGCAGGCGGUGACUUAAGUGAGGUGUGAAAGCCCCGGGCUUAACCUGGGAAUUGCAUUUCAUACUGGGUCGCUAGAGUACUUUAGGGAGGGGUAGAAUUCCACGUGUAGCGGUGAAAUGCGUAGAGAUGUGGAGGAAUACCGAAGGCGAAGGCAGCCCCUUGGGAAUGUACUGACGCUCAUGUGCGAAAGCGUGGGGAGCAAACAGGAUUAGAUACCCUGGUAGUCCACGCUGUAAACGAUGUCGAUUUGGGGGUUGAGCUUUGAGCUUGGCGCCCGUAGCUAACGUGAUAAAUCGACCGCCUGGGGAGUACGGCCGCAAGGUUAAAACUCAAAUGAAUUGACGGGGGCCCGCACAAGCGGUGGAGCAUGUGGUUUAAUUCGAUGCAACGCGAAGAACCUUACCUACUCUUGACAUCCAGAGAACUUUCCAGAGAUGGAUUGGUGCCUUCGGGAACUCUGAGACAGGUGCUGCAUGGCUGUCGUCAGCUCGUGUCGUGAGAAG